rnacentral:rRNA from 1 species
GUCAGCUCGUGUCGUGAGAUGUUGGGUUAAGUCCCGCAACGAGCGCAACCCUUACCCUUAGUGUUUUCCCGAAAGGAUUACCCUCUAAGGGGGACCUGCCCCGGACAACGGGGAGGAAGGUGGGGAUGACGUCAAGUCCGCAUGCUCCUUACGUCUAGGGCUACACACGUCCUACAAUGGGGUCGACAGUGGGAUGCAAAGCCGCGAGGUGGAGCCAAUCCCCAAACGGCCUCUCAGUUCGGAUAGUAGUCUGCAACUCGACUACUUGAAGUCGGAAUCGCUAGUAAUGGCGGAUCAGCAUGCCGCCGUGAAUACGUUCCCGGGUCCUU